rnacentral:rRNA from 1 species
UGGGGAAUAUUGCACAAUGGGGGGAACCCUGAUGCAGCGACGCCGCGUGCGGGAUGACGGCCUUCGGGUUGUAAACCGCUUUCAGUAGGGAAGAAGCGAAAGUGACGGUACCUGCAGAAGAAGUACCGGCUAACUACGUGCCAGCAGCCGCGGUAAUACGUAGGGUACAAGCGUUGUCCGGAAUUAUUGGGCGUAAAGAGCUCGUAGGUGGUUGGUCGCGUCUGCUGUGGAAACGCAACGCUUAACGUUGCGCGUGCAGUGGGUACGGGCUGACUAGAGUGCAGUAGGGGAGUCUGGAAUUCCUGGUGUAGCGGUGAAAUGCGCAGAUAUCAGGAGGAACACCGGUGGCGAAGGCGGGACUCUGGGCUGUAACUGACGCUGAGGAGCGAAAGCAUGGGGAGCGAACAGGAUUAGAUACCCUGGUAGUCCAUGCCGUAAACGUUGGGAACUAGGUGUGGGGUCCGUUCCACGGAUUCCGUGCCGGAGCUAACGCAUUAAGUUCCCCGCCUGGGGAGUACGGCCGCAAGGCUA